AACGCACAUUGCGCCCGCCGGUAUUCCGGCGGGCAUGCCUGUUCGAGCGUCAUUUACACCGCUUAGGCUUUUCAAGUCUAGUGUUGGAGCGCUAUAAUCAUUAGUGUUAUAGGCUCUCAAAAUCAGUGGCGAGCCCGUCGGGUCUCCGAGCGCAGUAAUUUUUCUCGCUAAGGAGGAACGACGGAGUCCUGCCGUAAAACCCCUAAUCUUAUAAACUUGACCUCGAAUCAGGUAGGGAUACCCGCUGAACUUAA
rnacentral:misc_RNA from 1 species